UACGGAAGGCAGCAGUGGGGAAUAUUGCACAAUGGGCGCAAGCCUGAUGCAGCCAUGCCGCGUGUAUGAAGAAGGCCUUCGGGUUGUAAAGUACUUUCAGUCGUGAGGAAGGUGUUAAGGUUAAUAACCUUAGCAAUUGACGUUAGCGACAGAAGAAGCACCGGCUAACUCCGUGCCAGCAGCCGCGGUAAUACGGAGGGUGCGAGCGUUAAUCGGAAUUACUGGGCGUAAAGGGCACGCAGGCGGUUAAUUAAGUUGGAUGUGAAAUCCCCGGGCUUAACCUGGGAAUGGCAUUCAAGACUGGUUAGCUAGAGUCUUGUAGAGGGGGUAGAAUUCCAUGUGUAGCGGUGAAAUGCGUAGAGAUGUGAGGAAUACCGGUGGCGAAGGCGGCCCCUGGACAAAGGACUGACGCUCAUGUGCGAAAGCGUGGGGAGCGAAAC
rnacentral:rRNA from 1 species